UCCAGACUCCUACGGGAGGCAGCAGUGAGGAAUAUUGGUCAAUGGCCGAGAGGCUGAACCAGCCAAGUCGCGUGAGGGAUGACGGCCCUACGGGUUGUAAACCUCUUUUGUCGGGGAGCAAAGAGAGUCACGUGUGACUCAUUGAGAGUACCCGAAGAAAAAGCAUCGGCUAACUCCGUGCCAGCAGCCGCGGUAAUACGGGGGGUGCAAGCGUUGUCCGGAAUCAUUGGGCGUAAAGAGUUCGUAGGCGGCACGUAAAGUCUGGUGUUAAAGGCAGAGGCUCAACUUCUGUACGGCACUGGAUACUUGCGAGCUAGAAUGCGGUAGAGGUAAAGGGAAUUCCUGGUGUAGCGGUGAAAUGCUUAGAUAUCAGGAGGAACAUCGGUGGCGUAAGCGCUUUACUGGGCCGUAAUUGACGCUGAGGAACGAAAGCCAGGGUAGCAAAUGGGAUUAGAUACCCCUGUA
rnacentral:rRNA from 1 species